rnacentral:rRNA from 1 species
UACGGGGGGAGCAAGCGUUGUUCGGAUUUAUUGGGCGUAAAGAGCGUGUAGGCGGCUUUACAGGUCCGUUGUGAAAACUCGAGGCUCAACCUCGAGACGCCGGUGGAAACCGUAAAGCUAGAGUCCGGAAGAGGAGAGUGGAAUUCCUGGUGUAGCGGUGAAAUGCGCAGAUAUCAGGAGGAACACCCGUGGCGAAAGCGGCUCUCUGGGACGGUACUGACGCUGAGACGCGAAAGCGUGGGGAGCAAACAGG